rnacentral:rRNA from 1 species
AGUUUGACUGGGGCGGUCUCCUCCCAAAGAGUAACGGAGGAGCACGAAGGUGGGCUAAUCACGGUUGGACAUCGUGAGGUUAGUGCAAUGGCAUAAGCCCGCUUAACUGCGAGAAUGACGGUUCGAGCAGGUGCGAAAGCAGGUCAUAGUGAUCCGGUGGUUCUGUAUGGAAGGGCCAUCGCUCAACGGAUAAAAGGUACUCCGGGGAUAACAGGCUGAUACCGCCCAAGAGUUCAUAUCGACGGCGGUGUUUGGCACCUCGAUGUCGGCUCAUCACAUCCUGGGGCUGAAGUCGGUCCCAAGGGUAUGGCUGUUCGCCAUUUAAAGUGGUACGCGAGCUGGGUUUAGAACGUCGUGAGACAGUUCGGUCCCUAUCUGCCGUGGGCGUUGGAAGAUUGAAGGGGGCUGCUCCUAGUACGAGAGGACCGGAGUGGACGAACCUCUGGUGUUCGGGUUGUGUCGCCAGACGCAUUGCCCGGUAGCUAAGUUCGGAAUUGAUAAGCGCUGAAAGCAUCUAAGCGCGAAGCGAGCCCUGAGAUGAGUCUUCCCUGACAGUUUAACUGUCCUAAAGGGUUGUUCGAGACUAGAACGUUGAUAGGCAGGGUGUGUAAGCGUUGUGAGGCGUUGAGCUAACCUGUACUAAUUGCCCGUGAGGC